GCACAUUUACAUUGAAGAAGAUGAGAAUAAUGAGUUAAUCAGAGUUGGAGAGACUUAUCUUAAAUUUGAGCUUUAUGUCAAUAUUCAAAAACAUUUAACCUACUGAUGCCUCAAUUAAUGUCAUUUUAUUGGUGUCUAUUUUUAUUUCUGAAAUUUCCCACCCUUGGCUUAUACUUGAGUCAAUGACUUCCCAGUUUUUUUUUUGUGGUAAAAUUAGAUGCCUCGGCUUAUUUUCGGGUUGGCUUAUAUUUGCGUAUAUACGGUAUUUGCUUGGAGUCUCUUGAUGUACUAUAAAUCUUCCAGGAAAGGUAUGUAUGUGCUGUGGCUUGACAAUACUGGCUUGUUGAGCCAUAAUUCUAAGAACAUGAAUAUAGUAUUUGCCUCCUGUUCCAGCCCUAUAUAUCCCCAAAACUGGGAACCCCAAAUACAGGAGUCGGAGAAAUAUAAUAAAACUGAGGCUAUGGGAUAUCUCACAGUCCUUUCUAUUGAUCAAUGGAGAAGAUGAGAAAAGAUUUCUUGAUGAGCUGAAGGCCGGAGCGAAGGGACCUCUGAGGCACAGUAGAUGAGAGAAGCAUUACAGCUGCUUUCUUGUUCCUCCUUAAGCUUUGCUAUUCACUCCAGCUGAAGCAUUUUAGUCACAGCUGUUUAGCUCCAUGGCUGAUAAUCUUUAAGACCAUUUCACAUUACCUGCAUCCAUCAGAAUUGUCGAUGGAGCGGAUGCAGCGCCUGCGUUUUGAUCUCUAAUCCCUGAGACAGAGAUCUUGGCCUGGAGAUGCCUUCACGGCUAAAAGCCUUGACCAAUUCUGCACAGAGGUUCCUCACCUAUACAGAAGGUCCUCGACAACGUUUGGCUCCUGGUUUUCAGCUUCAUCCUGGUGAAUUGAAUAGCUUUACUGAAGACCUUCCUGGAAAGGUAUGGGAUGUCCACCAUUCAGAGUGCAUGACUGGGAGAAAAGGAGUGGAUAGCACCCGUGGCACCGCCAGCAACGAAUCUGCUCGCAUCCUGACACCACCUUUCUCAGCCCAUCUUGUCAUUGCUGGAGAGGCAGCCAAGGGAUGCUGUGAUAGAUGUGCAGCGGAAACCAUGCUCUUUGGUUGCGCUCUGGACACGAGGCUGAUGGAUGGGCAGAAAACCCACCCGCCUUGCCGACAUCCAACCGGAGGAAAUGGGCCACACACCCAAAUGAAAAGAGGACCAGAUCGAUGGUGCAAGGCCGUUGAUCGAUUCCGAGAUUUCCCAAGGUAUCUAUAUAUAUAAUAAAAGUGAAAUCGGAGUAUGUAUCAGCGUUUGGAUUGGCCUGGCGGAAUAUGUGCUCGCGUUUUGAUUGGCCGCCACUAUCCCAGGCCACUGAGACCAACAGGAAUGACGGAUCUGCACCAAACUUGGCACACUUCAUCCCCACGAUGCACUUUAUGACCUGCUGCCAUUUGGGGGAGGAUGGACCACAGAUGAUGGGAUUUGCAGUACUUUCAAACACUUUAACUCCCACAGACUACUGCCA
rnacentral:lncRNA from 11 species